GGGGCAUUUUCUUGAUUAGUGAUUGAUGGGUGGUGCCAUUCCUGGGCUGAGGUGUAUAAAGAGCAAGCUGUGCAGAGCAAGUGGGUAGGCAGUGUUACUCCAUGGCUUCUGCUUCCGUUCCUGCAUCUAGUUCCUGCCUUGACUUCUCUUCAUGCCGGGACCUGUACGAUGAAAUGAACUUGUCCCUCCUCAGGUUUCUUUGACCAUAAUAUUUAUCACAGCAGUGGGAAGCAAAUUAAGACACGUCCCAACAGAUAUAUCAAACCCUUAUAACAGGGUUUAUUUGAGCAUCAGUCAUGCGCUUGGAGUGCCCAAGAAGGCAUGCAGACACGCUGAGGUCCUGGAACCUUCAGGAACAUACCUCAAGGCAUGGACUAACACCACUGGUGUAGGAUCAGGCAUCAUUUCAUAGGAAGACAAAACCCAAGCAGUCAGGGACAGACACGAGUGGUAACCAAUUUAGCAACCGAGGAAAUCUGAACCUGACGCUGUAAUGUGGAAAGCCAAGAGUGGAAUCUUAAAUUGGUUCUGAAACAAAAUGAAGGACUGGCCAAGGGUGGAAGGACUGAUGGAACGUUGUUUUAGAAGCAGCCAGACCUUGACUUGCAGGAAGCUCAGCUUAUUCUCCUGACCGGGGGUGGGGGUGGGGAGGACAGAUGACACUCUGGCCUGUGAUCCCAGGGCAGGCCUCAGGAGGGUGAUGACACAGUACUGGAAGAUGAGUCAGUGCUGACCCUUCCUCCUUAGCUAGUUCUGGCAACCCUGGAGACCGGGAUGCUCUCAUCAGGGAAUCUCUAAUGAGAUGGACACUCAGGACUCCCAACCGAAUGGAUCAGCCAUCUCAAGUAUAGUAAAGACCCAUGAUGCCAAGCCCCUGCACCAGCACAGAGCGUCUCUGAGCUUCAGAGCUGCUGUUACAUCUAAGCUGGCACCCCGGGAGAAGCUCUUACUGGGAAAAACAGGCCAAAGUGAAUGGCAUCAAACACAGCGUCAUCCAAGCAGAGCCGAUGCUGGAGGAGGAGAAGUUCUCAAAUAAAAAAUUAUGGGCUCAAGCGAUAGCCCAACCCCACACUAGCCUUUG